AUAUAUAUAUAUAUAUAUAUAUAUACAUACACAUACAUAUAUCUCUAGCUAUCUUCAAUGCAUGAUUGUUUAUAAAUGUAUAGAGGGAGAGAUAAAUGGCAAAAUGUAUCUCAGAUAUAAACAAAUUUGCUUUUUCUUAUUCUUUUUGGAACUAAUUUGUACAUAAAUGAACUAAGCAAACCAAACAUGUUCACAUCUGAAAUUAAUUUAGAAAUUUAUCAAAAACUGUGUGGUUCCCAAUUACCAACACACACAUUUGUUCCUCGGGUUCUCUAGUUAAACAUAUCCACAGCACCACAGCAAAACCUUUACCAUUCCCAAAAUGGCUCCUACUAAUAAAGUACAAUAUGCAAUAUAAUUGCAAUAAAAUGCAAUAAAAUGAAACCGUACACUUGAAUAUAUAUAUAUAUAUAUAUAUAUAUCCACUGUUAAAGUGUACGGUUUCAUUUUAUUGCAUAUUGAAAUAAAUAUUUCUGAGUUCUGUAUCAAUCUGUUAUUUUUUUUAUUUAUUUUUUUUCUGUUAUCCAUACAGUGUUGUAAAGUCAUGAAGCUAUGUAUAUUUCCUCAGAAUCACUUGUUCUCUAAAUGAAAAAUUGUUUUGAAAUGUUUGGAAGCUGCAAUUUAAAAAUACAAGGCAAUUAAUGUUUCCCUUUUUACUGUUAUUGUCACCACAGCAAAACCAUUCAAGCGAUCCAAAAUCCAUUCGCAAUUUAAGUUUCUCAAUGUUUUGGCAUCAUAUAGACAAAGUUUGGUGUGUAUAGUGUACUUCCCCUGUGAGUAUGCAUUAAUUCACAGCUAUAUUUUUCCAAAAAUCCAUAUUAAAAUCAAAAUAGCCGACUUCCUGUUGGUCGUAGCUUAUGACUUUGACCCAUACUCAGAAUUUGUGCUCUGCAUUUAACCCAUCCAAAGUGCACACACACAGCAGUAAACACACACACACUGUGAACACACACCCAGAGCAGUGGGCAGCCCGAGGAGCAGUUUGGGGUUCGGUGCCUUGUGUGUACGUCAUGGUAAGUCAUGGUAUUGCCGGCCCAAGACUUGAACCCACAACCCUAGGGUUAGGAGUCAAACUCUUUAACCACUAGGCCACGAUUUAGGAUUAGCUGUCCUGUGGAAUGAGGCACAUUUGCAAAUGUACUCUACAUUUGAUACAUUGUGUUAGCAGUGCAAAAGAUUGUGGGUUAAAUUCCCAGUACAUACUCGUAAAUUUUAUUUUUACUUUAAUAAAAUAUAAAAACAUUUUAUUCAAAUACACCACAAUAUGUUCAUUUUAGUUAGUUUGUCUCGUUUAUCGAGCCUGAUUGAUAUGUUUUAUAUAGUAUAGAUUGAUUUUGUUUGUUCCUCUUACUCCUACUAACUACUUAUUCAGUGUGUGUUACAUGAACAAAUUGGGAUCUAAAAUAGACAUGUGAAUAUUCAGCUGAAAGCCCUGUUACAACGAAAUGUGACAUAUGACACAUCUUAUGGGCCAAAAUAUAUAUACUUAGAACAGAGAAAAUAAGUCGUCUGAAAUUGUUCUAAUUUUCUAUAAUUCUUUUUUUUUAUUUAUUUUUUUAUUGUGGCUGUUUUCUUUUUAUUGCUUGGUGUUAAUAAAACUAGUUGUGACUUUCUUUGGCAGCGUGUUGAGUAAAUGUAUUGUUGGUAGUUGCAAGUUAUGAGUGAAAGAAAAAAAAAGACAAUAGAUUAAAUAAUUUGAGUUUAUUGAAUUUUGCAGGUGGUUAUUUUGAGCAACCCCCUUUUUUUUUUCUUUUUUUUUUGGCAGGCCUAUACCUGUCUGGCGCCCAAAAAAGUUACAUUUAAAUGAUUUAUCAAAAUCUUGACAGCAAAUUUUUUCUGGGGCCCACCACUGUUAAAGAGUGGCACCUGAACAGGGACCUUGAAGCCACAGACCAAAUGUGAACUAUGACUUAAACAUGAACGGUAAAAAAAAAAAAAAAUUCAGAAGGUUGUUGGUGUUGUUUUAUUGCAAACCUCUGAAAUUGUGUGUUGAUUGAUUGAAUUUGAAUUCAUUUGUGAGAAGUUAUCUGAAUGUUUUUGUUUCCUUUUUGGGUUGAAACAAUUGUGUGAGCAAAUUGGAAAAGUGUGUAUGUGUAAGAAAUUACUAAAUGCUAAUAUUGGUGGAACUGUUUAUUUAACCUUGUUGUUUAAUAUAUUGCCCCUAUAGAAUAUUAUAGUUUAUUUUGUCCCGGUUUGUUAGUUUCCUUUAAAAUUUUCAUAUUCAUUUACUGAUUUUUAUUUUACACAUAGUUUACACAUAAAAAUUACCUCCACACCCUCUCCAUCUCCAUUCACUUGUGUGGAUAUUGAAGUCCCUGAAGUAGUAUCACCAGGACCCCCUUCCUUUACAGCCCCAUUAUGCCCAAAUCUACAUGAUUCUCCGGGAACCAGAGUGUGCGGUUUGCCACUUUGCCCCUAACAGUUAGCACUCCUGGACAAACCCUCCCCAGGGUAUCUCCCCGUGCAGACCAUAUGCAGCUUUGCUCAUCACCUGAAUCUUUUCCUCCAUCUUCUGUGGGACAGCAGGAUUUGCCUUGUGAACUUUCCUACACCUGGCAGAGGAAUUCAACAACUUACUCAAGUUAAAGGAGAUUUGGACUCCUUAAGAGGCUAGCCAGAAACAGGAGAGUGCAAUGAUUCAGCUCACCAGGGAGGUAAAGGACAAGUCAUCUCAAUAUGCAAAACACAUUUCCAAUAUGGGGAUGAGGGUUUAAGAGGAGGUGCGGCCUUCCUGUUUCCUAUUUUAUACAAUCAAAUGGAAUUCUGGGUCUCCAGUGUCAGAUGUGAGUCAAACGUUUUUUGACUGCAAGCAAGCGUCUCCCCGCCUUUGUCCUGGUCAUGUCCCCACAAAGAUGGAGGACAACCAGCAAAAAUUACUCAAGUGCAUCUCUGAUAACAAGCAACACAUAGAAAGUUAGAUGGAUCAAUGGACCAAAGCUACCAAAUGUAUGAUCGGAGAUGAACUGACAAAUGUGAAGACUGCCCUUGUAUCUGAGGUAUGUUUCUUGGUUGAACAGCUUCAGGUAGAAAUUCAAAAAGAUCUUAAAGUCAUGCACAGGAACCUGCAGACUAGUCAAGAUGGUCUCAACAAAGAGCUUCAUCUGUGUAAGAAACAAAUGGAGGAGUUUAGCACUAACUUUCAAAAAUUCCAAUCAGACUUAACCCUUUAACUGCCCCACCAAGAAAAAAGCAUUUGAAAUUUUUUUUGUUUGCAUUUCUUAUCUCCUUAUGUCAUUAGUUACCAUACUCAAUGUAUUUUUUUUCAACACGUCCCAUAAUUUUUAAAAUAUCGGCCUCUACCAAAUGGUUGAUAUGUCACUUUAUGGCAAAAGUACCGGAAUUCAUACACAUACUAUGGAAAUCAGAAAAUAUGAACUAUAAUGAAUGAUCAGAAAGUUAUAUUUCUCAGCAAAUAGUACAUUCUGACAGCAGAAAGGAUUAUCUGAAAACAUUAGCUUAGCUUUUCUACGUUUACCAUAAAGUGACAAAUCAACCAUUUGGUUGAGCAGGCAGUUAAAGGGUUAAAAGAGGUGAUGCAAAGAGGUGUGUGAACUUGCAAGCACGAUGUCAGACACCGUAAUAUGCUCUGGUCCCCUCCCUGUUUACCGUGGUGACUAGAUGCAUAGCAGAUUGUCAUCACUAAAUGGCUGGAUGUCUAAGUGGUGCCCACAGAAUAACAUAGGUUUCAUAGACAAUUGGACGAGCUUUUGGGGCAGACCUGACCUGUUCAAAAGAGAUGGUCUUCAUCCCUCCUGGGGUGGCGCCACUCUUCUCUCUAGAAAUAUGGCAAAUAGUCUUAGUUUUUAUACUUGACCAACUGGGGCCCAGGUCAGGAAGCAGACAGACUGGCUAAACCGACCGUCUGCUACAGGGGCGGGUCUACGUGGUGGCCAGGGGGGGCACCGGCCCCCCCUGAAAUUCGAUUGGCCACCCCAGGUGCCCCCCCAUAAGAUGUCUUGUGAUUGGUUCAUUCUAUGGCCAAUCAUUUUAUAGAAUCUACUGAAGUUAGCGAUUCAAAGAAGUGCAGCGUCGACAGAAGGUGCGUUCCGUUCGACCGUAAGUGUACUGCGAAGUGGACUUCACAGGGUAUUCCGCCAUCUUAAGUGAGAUUCCAAUCGGAAGGGAGCGAACAUGUUCAGUUCGAAGGGCACUACGCACGGCACAGGGAAUAAGGGAACAUCGAUACAUCACUUCACAGGAAGUGGAGAGCGAUUAUCCCCCAACUGUCAUUGCGCGAAGCACGUCAUUACCAGUCAGAACGGCCGUCUUCGCUGACUUCAUUCAUAUUCAUUACGGAUUGUAAAAAGGGCGUUCCAAAUGAGCAGUUAUUGCCAGUGAAGUCCACUUCAACUGAUAUACCGUGCUCAGGGAGUAGGGAGCAGUGAACACUACGUAGGGACCCUGUCGAAUGGAACGCACCUAGAGACACUAGUGAUGGGAAGUUUGGAUCAUUAUACUUUGAGUCACGUUCAGCAAAAUGAACGAAUCUUUUUCUUGAGUAAUUUCGUUCAUUUUAGCAAAAUGUAAUUAAAAUGUUACGUGUUACUUCCCCAACACAUCUAGUAACGUUACUUAAGCAAACGUUGAUCACACUACAAACAAUACAAAACUAAAAUGCUAUAAAGACACAGAAAAGAUUAAUUAAUUAUUUACCUGGGUCUUCAGUCUGUGAUUAACUCACCUCUUGUCUGACAAGUCUUCAGCUUCAAAUCAUUCCUUAAUCACAUGACAGAUCCAUGCGCUAUUUCUGACAUUUCUGACAUUUGUCACUGUUUUUGUUACUGUUUCUUCUGGAUCUGUGGUGUUAUUAUUUUAUGAAUAAAUAAAACCUUGUUAUAAAUAAAAUAUUGAUUAAUUUGUC